GCACCGGGAGGGUCUAGCAUGCGAGUCAUUGUAGCAAUACAAGGCAGACGGCUCAGUAACGCGUAGUCAACCUACCCUAUAGACGGGAAUAACCUCGGGAAACUGAGAAUAAUGCCCGAUAGAACAUUAUGCCUGGAAUGGUUUAUGUUUCAAAUGAUUUAUCGCUGUAGGAUGGGACUGCGGCCUAUCAGUUUAUUGGUGAGGUAAUGGCCUACCAAGACUAUUACAGGUACGGGCUCUGAGAGGAGUAGCCCGGAGAUGGGUACUGAGACACGGACCCAGGCCCUAUGGGGCGCAGCAGGCGAGAAAACUUUGCAAUGUGCGAAAGCACGACAAGGUUAAUCCGAGUGGUUUCUGCUAAAGGAACCUUUUGUCAGUCCUAGAAACACUGAUGAAUAAGGGGUGGGCAAGUUCUGGUGUCAGCCGCCGCGGUAAAACCAGCACCUCAAGUGGUCAGGAUGAUUAUUGGGCCUAAAGCAUCCGUAGCCGGCUCUAUAAGUUUUCGGUUAAAUCUGUAUGCUCAACGUACAGGCUGCCGGGAAUACUGUAGAGCUAGGGAGUGGGAGAGGUAGACGGUACUCGGUAGGAAGGGGUAAAAUCCUUUGAUCUAUUGAUGACCACCUGUGGCGAAGGCGGUCUACCAGAACACGUCCGACGGUGAGGGAUGAAAGCUGGGGGAGCAAACCGGAUUAGAUACCCGGGUAGUCCCAGCUGUAAACUAUGCAAACUCAGUGAUGCAUUGGCUUGUGGCCAAUGCAGUGCUGCAGGGAAGCCGUUAAGUUUGCCGCCUGGGAAGUACGUACGCAAGUAUGAAACUUAAAGGAAUUGGCGGGGGAGCACCACAAGGGGUGAAGCCUGCGGUUCAAUUGGAGUCAACGCCGGG
rnacentral:rRNA from 1 species